GACGAACGCUGGCGGCGUGCUUAACACAUGCAAGUCGAGCGGUAAGGCCCUUUCGGGGGUACGACGAGCGGCGAACGGGUGAGUAACACGUGGGUGGACCUGCCCUCCAGCUCUGGGAGUAAGCCUGGGAAACCGGGUACUAAUACUGGAUAUGACUCCAUGACGCAUGUUGUGGGGUGGAAAGCCUUGUGCGGCUGAGGAUGGGCCCGCGGCCUAUCAGCUUGUUGGUGGGGUGAGGCCUACCAAGGCGACGACGGGUAGCCGGCCUGAGAGGGCGACCGGCCAC
rnacentral:rRNA from 1 species